GCACCGAUAGCUCAAUUGGAUAGAGCACUUGACUUCGGAUCAAGGGGUUAGAGGUUCGAGUCCUCUUCGGUGCG
rnacentral:tRNA from 1 species